GACGAAGGGGGCUAGCGUUGUUCGGAAUUACUGGGCGUAAAGCGCGUGUAGGCGGUUGUUCAAGUCAGGUGUGAAAGCCUUGAGCUCAACUCAAGAAAUGCACUUGAUACUGGAUGACUAGAGGACCGGAGAGGAUAGUGGAAUUCCCAGUGUAGUGGUGAAAUACGUAGAGAUUGGGAAGAACACCAGUGGCGAAGGCGGCUAUCUGGACGGUUUCUGACGCUAAGACGCGAAAGCGUGGG
rnacentral:rRNA from 1 species